GCCUCCAUGGCUCAAUCGGAGAGAGCACCCGGCUUCGAACCGGGACGAGUGCGGGUUCGAAUCCUGCUGGAGGUG
rnacentral:tRNA from 1 species